rnacentral:rRNA from 1 species
GCUAAUACCGCAUGAUGCCUACGGGCCAAAGAGGGGGACCUUCGGGCCUCUCGCGUCAGGAUAUGCCUAGGUGGGAUUAGCUAGUUGGUGAGGUAAGGGCUCACCAAGGCGACGAUCCCUAGCUGGUCUGAGAGGAUGAUCAGCCACACUGGAACUGAGACACGGUCCAGACUCCUACGGGAGGCAGCAGUGGGGAAUAUUGCACAAUGGGCGCAAGCCUGAUGCAGCCAUGCCGCGUGUGUGAAGAAGGCCUUCGGGUUGUAAAGCACUUUCAGUCG